CACCUACGGGUGGCAGCAGUCGAGAAUUUUUCUCAAUGGGGGAAACCCUGAAGGAGCGACGCCGCGUGGGGGAUGAAUGGCUUCGGCCCGUAAACCCCUGUCAUUUGCGAUCAAACCUUACAACCUAACACGUUGUGAGCUGAUAGUAGCGGAAGAGGAAGGGACGGCUAACUCUGUGCCAGCAGCCGCGGUAAUACAGAGGUCCCAAGCGUUGUUCGGAUUCACUGGGCGUAAAGGGUGCGUAGGCGGUCGGGUAAGUCUGACGUGAAAUCUUCAAGCUCAACUUGGAAACUGCGUCGGAUACUAUUCGGCUAGAGGAAUGGAGGGGAGACUGGAAUACUUGGUGUAGCAGUGAAAUGCGUAGAUAUCAAGUGGAACACCAGUGGCGAAGGCGAGUCUCUGGACAUUUCCUGACGCUGAGGCACGAAAGCCAGGGGAGCAAACGGGAUUAGAUACCCCGGUAGUCCUGGCCCUAAACGGUGCACGUUUGCUGUAAGAGGAAUCGACCCCUUUUGUGGCGAAGCUAACG
rnacentral:rRNA from 1 species